CGAAGGGGCAUCCCAAAACCUGACUCAUCUAUUGCAAGCAAAGGACAUCUUAGUGUAUCAGAUCUACUUGACUACAUAAGCCCGGAUCAGGAAAGAAAAGAGAGGGAUACACAAAGAAAGGGCAGGCGUGCAAAGAAUAAUAUCAGAGCCCAUCAAGGUGAAUUAGUUGAAGAAAAGGAGAGCUUUGAGCACGACAUAGGAUCUCCUCAUGAAGCAAACAAAGAGGAG
rnacentral:misc_RNA from 1 species